AGCGCAUACGGUGGAUGCCUUGGCAGUCAGAGGCGAUGAAAGACGUGGUAGCCUGCGAAAAGCUUCGGGGAGUCGGCAAACAGACUGUGAUCCGGAGAUGUCUGAAUGGGGGAACCCAGCCAUCAUAAGAUGGUUAUCUUACACUGAAUACAUAGGUGUAAGAGGCGAACCAGGGGAACUGAAACAUCUAAGUACCCUGAGGAAAAGAAAUCAACCGAGAUUCCCUUAGUAGUGGCGAGCGAACGGGGACCAGCCCUUAAGUUGUAUUGAGAUUAGCGGAACGCUCUGGAAAGGGCGGCCAUAGUGGGUGAUAGCCCUGUACGCGAAAAUCCCUUUGCAAUGAAAUCGAGUAGGACGGGGCACGAGAAACCUUGUCUGAAUAUGGGGGGACCAUCCUCCAAGGCUAAAUACUACUGACUGACCGAUAGUGAACCAGUACCGUGAGGGAAAGGCGAAAAGAACCGCGGAGAGCGGAGUGAAAUAGAUCCUGAAACCGUAUGCGUACAAGCAGUGGGAGCCCACGUUGUUGGGUGACUGCGUACCUUUUGUAUAAUGGGUCAGCGACUUAUUUUCAGUGGCGAGCUUAACCGAAUAGGGGAGGCGUAGCGAAAGCGAGUCUUAAUAGGGCGUCUAGUCGCUGGGAAUAGACCCGAAACCGGGCGAUCUAUCCAUGGGCAGGUUGAAGGUUGGGUAACACUAACUGGAGGACCGAACCGACUACCGUUGAAAAGUUAGCGGAUGACCUGUGGAUCGGAGUGAAAGGCUAAUCAAGCUCGGAGAUAGCUGGUUCUCCUCGAAAGCUAUUUAGGUAGCGCCUCAUGUAUCACUGUAGGGGGUAGAGCACUGUUUCGGCUAGGGGGUCAUCCCGACUUACCAAACCGAUGCAAACUCCGAAUACCUACAAGUGCCGAGCAUGGGAGACACACGGCGGGUGCUAACGUCCGUCGUGAAAAGGGAAACAACCCAGACCGUCAGCUAAGGUCCCAAAGUCAUGGUUAAGUGGGAAACGAUGUGGGAAGGCUUAGACAGCUAGGAGGUUGGCUUAGAAGCAGCCACCCUUUAAAGAAAGCGUAAUAGCUCACUAGUCGAGUCGGCCUGCGCGGAAGAUGUAACGGGGCUCAAACCAUGCACCGAAGCUACGGGUAUCACCUUUGGUGAUGCGGUAGAGGAGCGUUCUGUAAGCCUGUGAAGGUGAGUUGAGAAGCUUGCUGGAGGUAUCAGAAGUGCGAAUGCUGACAUGAGUAACGACAAUGGGUGUGAAAAACACCCACGCCGAAAGACCAAGGUUUCCUGCGCAACGUUAAUCGACGCAGGGUUAGUCGGUCCCUAAGGCGAGGCUGAAAAGCGUAGUCGAUGGAAAACAGGUUAAUAUUCCUGUACUUCUGGUUAUUGCGAUGGAGGGACGGAGAAGGCUAGGCCAGCCUGGCGUUGGUAGUCCAGGUUUAAGGUGGUAGGCUGAGAUCUUAGGUAAAUCCGGGAUCUUAAGGCCGAGAGCUGAUGACGAGUGUUCUUUUAGAACAUGAAGUGGUUGAUGCCAUGCUUCCAAGAAAAGCUUCUAAGCUUCAGGUAACCAGGAACCGUACCCCAAACCGACACAGGUGGUUGGGUAGAGAAUACCAAGGCGCUUGAGAGAACUCGGGUGAAGGAACUAGGCAAAAUGGCACCGUAACUUCGGGAGAAGGUGCGCCGGUGAGGGUGAAGCAUUUACUGCGUAAGCCCACGCCGGUCGAAGAUACCAGGCCGCUGCGACUGUUUAUUAAAAACACAGCACUCUGCAAACACGAAAGUGGACGUAUAGGGUGUGACGCCUGCCCGGUGCCGGAAGGUUAAUUGAUGGGGUUAGCGCAAGCGAAGCUCUUGAUCGAAGCCCCGGUAAACGGCGGCCGUAACUAUAACGGUCCUAAGGUAGCGAAAUUCCUUGUCGGGUAAGUUCCGACCUGCACGAAUGGCGUAACGAUGGCGGCGCUGUCUCCACCCGAGACUCAGUGAAAUUGAAAUCGCUGUGAAGAUGCAGUGUAUCCGCGGCUAGACGGAAAGACCCCGUGAACCUUUACUAUAGCUUUGCACUGGACUUUGAAUUUGCUUGUGUAGGAUAGGUGGGAGGCUUUGAAGCGUGGACGCCAGUCUGCGUGGAGCCAACCUUGAAAUACCACCCUGGCAACUUUGAGGUUCUAACUCAGGUCCGUUAUCCGGAUCGAGGACAGUGUAUGGUGGGUAGUUUGACUGGGGCGGUCUCCUCCUAAAGAGUAACGGAGGAGUACGAAGGUGCGCUCAGACCGGUCGGAAAUCGGUCGUAGAGUAUAAAGGCAAAAGCGCGCUUGACUGCGAGACAGACACGUCGAGCAGGUACGAAAGUAGGUCUUAGUGAUCCGGUGGUUCUGUAUGGAAGGGCCAUCGCUCAACGGAUAAAAGGUACUCCGGGGAUAACAGGCUGAUACCGCCCAAGAGUUCAUAUCGACGGCGGUGUUUGGCACCUCGAUGUCGGCUCAUCACAUCCUGGGGCUGAAGCCGGUCCCAAGGGUAUGGCUGUUCGCCAUUUAAAGUGGUACGCGAGCUGGGUUUAGAACGUCGUGAGACAGUUCGGUCCCUAUCUGCCGUGGACGUUUGAGAUUUGAGAGGGGCUGCUCCUAGUACGAGAGGACCGGAGUGGACGAACCUCUGGUGUUCCGGUUGUCACGCCAGUGGCAUUGCCGGGUAGCUAUGUUCGGAAAAGAUAACCGCUGAAAGCAUCUAAGCGGGAAACUUGCCUCAAGAUGAGAUCUCACUGGAACCUUGAGUUCCCUGAAGGGCCGUCGAAGACUACGACGUUGAUAGGUUGGGUGUGUAAGCGCUGUGAGGCGUUGAGCUAACCAAUACUAAUUGCCCGUGAGGCUUGACC
rnacentral:rRNA from 1 species